rnacentral:rRNA from 1 species
GGCGAACAGGUGAGUAACACGUGAGUAACCUGCCCUUGACUUUGGGAUAACUUCAGGAAACUGGGGCUAAUAUCGGAUAGGAGCUCCUGCUGCAUGGUGGGGGUUGGAAAGUUUCGGCGGUUGGGGAUGGACUCGCGGCUUAUCAGCUUGUUGGUGGGGUAGUGGCUUACCAAGGCUUUGACGGGUAGCCGGCCUGAGAGGGUGACCGGCCACAUUGGGACUGAGAUACGGCCCAG